rnacentral:lncRNA from 1 species
ACCAAGGUAGUUUUCCUGUUUCCCGUGGCUUUAUUUCCAAGCUGUUCGUGCUUUUCAUUCAUUGACCAGAUUUGGUACAAAGGCAAAAAGAUUUUUAUCAUCCGAAGCUAAAAGUAAUAAUCGCAGACAAACAAAUUCACAUCAUACGCUUAUCGACAAAGAGACGGAAAUCGACUUGACGCUUCGUUCUUUAUUUGUCAGUGUGAAUCUUUAUAUCACACGCGUAACAUGUCUUCAGAAGCCGACAUGUUACGUCCAUCUGCUCAUGCGCGUAAUAUACGGUCACAUUCCCUCAAACCACAAAGCCAGCCCAUGAUGCAGUUCAAGCAACGUUCCAAGCGUACAAUGAGCCUGCCAUCCAAACCUGUUCUACUACCGCUGAUUAAUAUUCAACGCUGUCAAGACAACUGGAAGGACGAAAGUGAUGAAGAUGAAAAUGUGGGAAAUGGAGGGGAAAUGGCGUGGUAUACACCAAUUGUUGGACUGUCAUGCAGCCUUGUAAUAUAUUUCUGGGCAUGCGGCCUCGCUUACUACUCGAAACCUUGAAAAGUCAAAGACGACGACUGGUUGCACAGUUCUUUCAUAUUUUUAAAUAUUUUUUUUACAUUCAUAAUGUCGUUAAGAGAGCAGAUAAAAGUCACUAAAUCAGCUAGUAGAUAAGCAAAUAUGAUUUAGUUCUAUCACUUUGGUGAUUACACCGUUUAGAGACAUGAAAUGUCAUGAACAACGGUUAUUGCAAAGUUUAUUAUUUUAUUAAUAUUAUCAUAUUAUUAUUAUUAUUAUUUUAUCAUUAUUAUUAUUAUUACUUGACAUUUAUAGAGUCAAAUGAAGUGGUGAACUUUACUAAGAGAGUGAGUGAAUACAACUGAGAAUAUUUAAGAAGAAUCAAACAGAAAGGUCUUAAUUUAAUCUGUAGGACCUGAGCAUUUUUUCCUUCAUGUUUAUUAGAGUUCCAUUGAUUGUUCGUCAUUGUUACAUUAAAAGUUCCUUAAUGGAUCAGGGGAACAAUGAGUUUAUAAAUUUAAGGGCCAACAAAUAUGCCUUAAAGCUGAUGCAAAUUAUCAGUAAAAUAGUUACUCGAGUCUUGUGAAGUAUAAAGCAAAAUAUUUAGAACGAAGAGGAUCCCAAUGGGGUUAACCGUUAGCCGUGUAGAACGACCAAAAACUUAAAGUCGCUAAGCUUAAAAACUGAACAAUUUUAACUGGGAGUCGUAAAAUAAGUUUACCGUAAAAAAAAUCUUUUUCUAUUAUACAGAAAAGAAGUAAACCGUUAGCCGUAAAAUGAUCCAAAUUUUAACCUUUAGCUGUUAAAGCUAUCACCCUAUUGAGACCAUCUGCAAAGAAGCAAGCCUUUUUAAAACAGUUGUAAUAUGUUGCUGUCACUAGCUUUAUUAUGUGUUUCCAGCUACUUUUAACCAUCUUACUGUUUGAUGAUAACAGGGCUUGACAUAAAUGACGUUUAGAUUUAAUGGUAUUAAAUUAAUUUCUUAAGCUAAACCAGUAUGCAGGAAAAAAGAAUCGAGUUUAAAAAAUGAUAUGAAAAGCAAAGAAAUGAAAUGAUAAUAAAAGGUUACAUAAAGAAACUUUGGUCUAUAAAAAAUAUGUAGGAGAAGAAGUAGCCUGUAGCUACAAAAUAUCUCAGUUACAUGUACUAACCCAGUUCUUGGUCCGUACUGUAAGUUACAAUACAAUACUUCUCCUUGAUCACUCCCAUUGAGGUUUUUCAGAAUCAAUUCAUAUAGCAAUGAAUUUUAAACCUCUCUACAACGGUCACCUUGAGGACAGAAGAAAAUAGACCGAGAAGUGACCGUCAUGGGGAGGCAGGGAUGAAUGUAUGGACAGGCCAUCGGAACCAAAAGGAAAGUGGCCGUUGUGGACAGGUAGCCGUUGUAGAGAGGUAGAUGUUGAAGAGAAGUGGCCGUUUGUAGAGGUUUGACUGUAACUGUACAGACCGAGAAAACAAAGUUAGUAAUAUAUUUAUUACGUCUGUUGGUUCAAAUAGAGGGAGAAGAUUUUAAUUCAAACAAACUUUUCAAUUUAGUAUGUGCGCAUGCCCUACACUGAAUUGACCAAUCAUAGCGCUGAGACAUUUGAUAGAGGCCCCCUAUUUAGCACCAUAGGAAUGUAGAAUAAAGUUAAUUCAGAUCUCUAAUUAAAAAAAAAGAAACUUAAAAAUGCAAUUUUGAAAGUGAAAACUUCUGAAUUAAAGUUUUAACUUAAUCAUGCAAAUGAGGUAUUUAAAGGCAAUUUUUUUAACUGCGAACAAACAGAAUGAACUAGCUGUGUUAUCAGGGCCGUUUGCUCUAUGACUUGAUUUUAAAGAAUAUAUAAUCAAUUAGGCAUUAAAAUGGAAUUAAAUGCU